rnacentral:rRNA from 1 species
GGGGAAACCCACCUCUUCUGAGGUAUCCGUGACUGAAUCCAUAGGUCACGUGAAGCGAACGCGGUGAACUGAAACAUCUAAGUAACCGCAGGAAAAGAAAUCAACCGAGAUUCCCAAAGUAGUGGCGAGCGAAAUGGGACCAGCCUGUACUCUUUAUCUUCGCUGUUAGUCGAACGCUCUGGAAAGUGCGGCCAUAGCAGGUGAUAGCCCUGUAGACGAAAACAGUGAGGAAGAACUAGGUGUACGACAAGUAGGGCGGGACACGUGAAAUCCUGUCUGAAGAUGGGGGGACCAUCCUCCAAGGCUAAAUACUCGUGAUCGACCGAUAGUGAACCAGUACCGUGAGGGAAAGGCGAAAAGAACCCCGGGAGGGGAGUGAAACAGAUCCUGAAACCGCA